rnacentral:ncRNA from 1 species
GAGAUAGAGGUUGCGUAUUUUAAGAGUACUGCUUUGGAUGUGUCAGGCACAGGGGAAGAGGCAGAAAAGGGAAAUACGCCGAAAGAGCAGAUCUCCUGGAGGAUGUGUUCUUGGGCACCGGGUUAAGAACUCUGUGACUGUCACCCACAAGCGGGGUGGUGCGCUAUCGGU